GGGGGAGGACAGGGGGUACCCUUCUUCCUUCUCCCACCCCUCUUCUCCUUUCUCCUACCCCAAUUCUCCUUUCUCCCAUUAGAAUAAAACAUCUCCUUUUGAGAUAUUUUUUCUUGAAAUAUUAGAAAAUUUUUUAAAAGGAGAGAUAUUUAAUUUUUUUCUCCUUUCUCCAACUUUUUCUCCUUUCUCCCAGCCUUCCUCUCCUUUCCCCUUUCUCCUUUCUCCCACCCCCUUUCUCCUUUCUCCUACCCCCUUUCUCCCUGUCUCCCUUACCCCUGUCCUCCCCCUCAUCAA
rnacentral:lncRNA from 1 species